ACUAACAGACACACAGUCCUGGGGGGGCCUGAUCACUGUCAGAUUUUGGAAGCUAAGCAGGGCUGGGCCUGGUUAGUAUUUAGAUGGGAAACUGCCUUGGAAGACCAGGGGCUCUUAGAC
rnacentral:rRNA from 12 species